rnacentral:lncRNA from 1 species
AAGGACGGAAAAGUUGAAAUACGUGAACACGGGACUAAUCGCGGGCAACUAAAAGAGGUAUAAAACAUUGUGAUUAUUUUUUUUACGAUAAUAUUCAUUGGGUUUGCUAAUAAAUUGUUUGAUUUUUAUGGAAAAUAAAAUACAGUUUUCGGUGGAUUAUCCAAAUGAUAACAUCGUGGCCGUUGGUGGAAGCUACGAUCAUAUUUUCACAUAUGAUACAACGCUUAUCACAUCGCUAUACUUCACAACCUCCAGGGGUUUUACCUCUCCAUUAUUCGGUGAGAAGACAGGAACAGAUUUCGAGUUCCAAGGUGAAAAUAAAGGAAAGCUUCUCGGGUUCCAUGGACGUGCUGGGCAUGCUAUUGAUGCCAUCGGAGCUUACUUCCACACUGGUUCACAAGGUGGCCAGGGAGCUGGUUCACAAGGUGGCCAGGGAGCUGGUUCACAAGGUGGCCAGGGAGGUGACCCCGGAAAAGGUGGUCCUAGACCUGUUGUCCCCGGAAAGAUGGGACCCUUAGGUGGUGCCAAGGGAAAUGAAUUCGAUGAUGUUGGUUUUGAUGGUGUGAAGAAAGUAACUGUGGGAGCAGAUGAAUUCAGUGUAACUUAUAUCAAGAUCGAAUACAUAAAGGACGGAAAAGUUGAACGUGUGUCUGGUUACUACCGAACGACUUUCUCCGGAGACGUUAUAACGGCGUUAUUGUUUAGGACGAACAAGAAGACCUAUGGGCCUUAUGGAAACCUAACACGAAACUUCUUUUCUGCUGACGCACCGAGAAACAACCAAAUCGCUGGAUUUCUAGGAAAUAGUGGAAGUGCACUCAACUCCAUCAACGUUCAUUUUGCUCCCAUUCCUCCCCCUGGUAGCAUUAAACCAAAACCUGCUGGCCCCGGAACAGGCGACGCUGGAAGCGGUCAACCUGUUAGCCCAGGACCCGGCGAUGCGGGAGGUGGUCCAAAACCUGGUGGUCCUGGAACCGGUGAAAACGGAGCCGGCACUAAACCUAGUGGUCCCGGAACCGGUGAAAACGGAGCCGGCACUAAACCUGGUGACCUUGGAACCGGGGCAGAUGGAGAAGGUACUAAACCUGGUGGCUCUGGAACCGGCGAAGACGGAGCCGGUACUAAACCUGGUGGUCCUGGAACCGGUGAAAACGGAGCCGGCACUAAACCUAGUGGUCCCGGAACCGGUGAAAACGGAGCCGGCACUAAACCUGGUGACCUUGGAACCGGGGCAGAUGGAGAAGGUACUAAACCUGGUGGCUCUGGAACCGACGAAGACGGAGCCGGUACUAAACCUGGUGGCCUUGAGACAGGAGAAGACGGAGCUGGUACUAAACCUGUUGGCUCUGGAACUGGUAACGAUGGAGGCGGUCCUAGACCUGUUAUCCCUGGAAAGAUGGGACCCCUUGGUGGUGACAAGGGAAAUGAAUUCGACGAUGUUGGUUUUGAUGGUGUGAAGAAAAUAACUGUGGGAGCAGAUGAAUUCAGUGUAACUUAUAUCAAGAUCGAAUACAUAAAGGACGGAAAAGUUGAAAUACGUGAACACGGGACUAAUCGCGGGCAACUAAAAGAG